GAUGAACGCUAGCGGCAGGCUUAACACAUGCAAGUCGAGGGGCAGCAUAAUGGAUAGCAAUAUCUAUGGUGGCGACCGGCGCACGGGUGCGUAACGCGUAUGCAACCUACCUUUAACAGGGGGAUAACACUGAGAAAUUGGUACUAAUACCCCAUAAUAUCAUAGAAGGCAUCUUUUAUGGUUGAAAAUUCCGAUGGUUAGAGAUGGGCAUGCGUUGUAUUAGCUAGUUGGUGGGGUAACGGCUCACCAAGGCGACGAUACAUAGGGGGACUGAGAGGUUAACCCCCCACACUGGUACUGAGACUCGGACCAGACUCCUACGGGAGGCAGCAGUGAGGAAUAUUGGUCAAUGGACGCAAGUCUGAACCAGCCAUGCCGCGUGCAGGAUGACGGCUCUAUGAGUUGUAAACUGCUUUUGUACGAGGGUAAACGCAGAUACGUGUAUCUGUCUGAAAGUAUCGUACGAAUAAGGAUCGGCUAACUCCGUG
rnacentral:rRNA from 1 species